GUCGGAGUGGCGGAAUUGGUAGACGCGCUGGGCUUAGGACCCAGUGGGGUAACCCGUGGGGGUUCGAGUCCCUCCUCCGACA
rnacentral:tRNA from 1 species